UAGUGGCGAACCGGUGAGUAACAAGUGAGUAACCUGCCCUUAACUCUGGGAUAAGCCUUGGAAACGGGGUCUAAUACUGGAUAUUGACUUUACCUCGCAUGGGGUUUGGUUGAAAGAUUUAUUGGUUUUGGAUGGACUCGCGGCCUAUCAGCUUGUUGGUGAGGUAAUGGCUCACCAAGGCGACGACGGGUAGCCGGCCUGAGAGGGUGACCGGCCACACUGGGACUGAGACACGGCCCAGACUCCUACGGGAGGCAGCAGUGGGGAAUAUUGCACAAUGGGCGAAAGCCUGAUGCAGCGACGCCGCGUGAGGGAUGACGGCCUUCGGGUUGUAAACCUCUUUCAGUAGGGAACAAGGCCAGCAUUUUUGUUGGUUGAGGGUACUUGCAGAAGAAGCGCCGGCUAACUACGUGCCAGCAGCCGCGGUAAUACGUAGGGCGCAAGCGUUAUCCGGAAUUAUUGGGCGUAAAGAGCUCGUAGGCGGUUUGUCGCGUCUGCCGUGAAAGUCCGGGGCUCAACUCCGGAUCUGCGGUGGGUACGGGCAGACUAAAAUUGAUUUAGGGGAAGACUGGAAUUCCUUGGUGUUACCGGCUGAA
rnacentral:rRNA from 1 species